rnacentral:rRNA from 1 species
AUUGAACGCUGGCGGCAUGCUUUACACAUGCAAGUCGAACGGCAGCGGGGGCUUCGGCCCGCCGGCGAGUGGCGAACGGGUGAGUAAUGCAUCGGAACGUGCCCAGUCGUGGGGGAUAACACAUCGAAAGAUGUGCUAAUACCGCAUACGUCCUGAGGGAGAAAGCGGGGGAUCUUCGGACCUCGCGCGAUUGGAGCGGCCGAUGUCGGAUUAGCUAGUUGGUGGGGUAAAAGCCCACCAAGGCGACGAUCCGUAGCGGGUCUGAGAGGAUGAUCCGCCACACUGGGACUGAGACACGGCCCAGACUCCUACGGGAGGCAGCAGUGGGGAAUUUUGGACAAUGGGGGCAACCCUGAUCCAGCCAUGCCGCGUGAGUGAAGAAGGCCCUCGGGUUGUAAAGCUCUUUCGGACGGAAAGAAAUCGCCGCCUCUAACAUAGGCGGUGGAUGACGGUACCGUAAGAAGAAGCACCGGCUAACUACGUGCCAGCAGCCGCGGUAAAUC